CGUUUAAGGUGGACACGCGGCAAAGGCACACUCGGGAAGAGAUGACGUCAUGCAGCUUAAAGGUAGCUCGUAUUUUCACUUUUGUUAUUUCUCUUGAGACACGUUCUCAAGGCUGGCCUCGAAUUCCUGAUCCUGCUGCCUUCAUCUCACAAAUGUUGGGAUUACAGACGUGUGCAGCCAUGUUCUGAUAGUCACUGAUGCGUUCGGAGCAAUCUUGAUCCCUGUCGGACGCCGUCACCGGCUCUUGCCUAGCUCCACC
rnacentral:lncRNA from 1 species